UCUCCAGGACCUUCCAGAAAUGAAGCUCCCCGUUUUUGUGCUCCCCACCCGUGUCUCUCCGUGCCCACCCCCCCCUCAGCAGCUCCCAGGGAUGCUCAGGGAGCUCUCUCCUCACCCCUGUGUCCCUUCCUGGCCGUGUGAACCCUCCGUGGCGGUCCCGGGGGGACGUACGGCUCGUUCCUGGGAAUCUGGCUGUCUCCAAGGCUGUGGGAUGUUCACUCAUGGGACUUCUUGCUGCAGGAUGCUCUGGAGGACAAAUUGGGCUUCACCAGCUCGUGGAGAAGAGCUUUCCAGGGGAUUUUAAGCCCCGUGGUCUGGAUUCAGCCUCCAGCAUCCCUGUGCCAGGACAUGCAGAGAAAGCCAGCGAUGAAUUUUUAAAGCCAGGAAGAACGUCUCCUCCCUCUUGUUUUGCUGCUUGCAGGCUUCCACAUCUCCUCUUGGCCUCCUUCAGGGGUGGGAAUUGCUGAUCCCACCUGGAUGUCUCAUAAUAUUCCUCAUAAUGCCCCAGUUGGGUGUCCCCUGGCAAUGGGAGAGCAGCUGCUUCUUCCAUUUGCCAUCCAGAGGCAAAGCUAACAACAGCAAAGCUCAAAAUUUGGGUCAGUGUGAACUGUGUCUUUAUUAAGGGGAAAAAAAAAGAAAAAAAAAAUAAUUUCUCAAGUUUCCAUUUUGGGUCAGCAGGUGUCAGAGGACCUGCCAAGAAACAUCUCGUUGAAAAGAAAUUAAUUUAUUUGCGGAAACCUCGUUUUGUUUUGAAGAAAUCAAAGGCAGGCACGUCAAGGCUCGGAAAGACUUUCAACUUGUGCUUUUCUCCGACUGUGUCAUGGAAAAGGAAAGCCGGAUUUCUGUUGAAAUUCCUUGAUCUGGGUCUGAAAGUGCCUGUGAGACCCAGAGGAGCUGCUUCCUCCCGGGUGGCGACCCCCCUGCAGAUGUGCCCGGGCGACCACGCCUGGAGCUCCACCACUUUGACCGCCCUAAGGUGAGGCCCAACUUGCAGGGAACAGGGGCUGGAUGUGACGACCCCAAUGGGAUAAAGAUGGGACCCUUCUGUGUGUGGAUGACCCCAUAAACUUCACAGUCUGGAGGGAACAUGGAUCUGGAGGAGACCCAGUCACAGGUCCUGGUGCCGAUGGGACUGCUGGGAACCUAAAGAAGGGGGGGAUCUGAAGAAGCAGAGAGAGGGAACAAAACCUUUCUUCUGCUCAUCUGCUUUGCUUCCUGGAAAUCUCCUUUUCCAAGCAGUCCUGCCCUUGCUGCAGCCGUGUCUUGGAGGCUUUCCAGCAGCUGAGAGAAGAAGCCUGGUCCAAGGUUAGCACAAGGCUAAGUUGGAGCCGUGUGACUCUGCUUUCCUUACUGCCC